rnacentral:rRNA from 1 species
UACGAAGGGGGCUAGCGUUGUUCGGAUUUACUGGGCGUAAAGCGCACGUAGGCGGAUCGUUAAGUCGGGGGUGAAAGCCCAGGGCUCAACCCUGGAAUUGCCUUCGAUACUGAGAGUCUUGAGUUCGGAAGAGGUUGGUGGAACUGCGAGUGUAGAGGUGAAAUUCGUAGAUAUUCGCAAGAACACCAGUGGCGAAGGCGGCUCACUGGCCCGAUACUGACGCUGAGGCACGAAAGCGUGGGGAGCAAACAGGG